GACGAACGCUGGCGGCGUGCUUAACACAUGCAAGUCGAGCGGUAAGGCCCUUUCGGGGGUACACGAGCGGCGAACGGGUGAGUAACACGUGGGUGACCUGCCCUCAGCUCUGGGAUAAGCCUGGGAAACCGGGUCUAAUACUGGAUAUGACUCCAUGACGCAUGUUGUGGGGUGGAAAGCCUUGUGCGGCUGAGGAUGGGCCCGCGGCCUGUCAGCUUGUUGGUGGGGUGANGGCCUACCAAGGCGACGACGGGUAGCCGGCCUGAGAGGGCGACCGGCCACACUGGGACUGAGACACGGCCCAGACUCCUACGGGAGGCAGCAGUGGGGAAUCUUGCGCAAUGGGCGAAAGCCUGACGCAGCGACGCCGCGUGAGGGAUGACGGCCU
rnacentral:rRNA from 1 species